CUUUGGCCAUCCAAAGUAGAGAUGUCAACGGAUCGGAUUCGAGGCGGAUUUUUAAUAACCCGAACCCACGGAUCGGAUUCGGGGCGGAUUUUUAAAAAUUCGAACCCGAACCCGAACCCGAAUCCGAACCCGAACCCGACUCCAAACCCGAGACCCGAACCCGAACCCGAACUCGACGGAUUUUAAAAAUCCAUAUCCAAACCCGAACCCGACCAAAAAUUCGAAACCCGAACCCGAAUCCGAACCCGAAAAUUUGAACCCGAAACAAUUAUUUCUUUUUUCAAUAUUUCAAAAUAUAUUAUAUUAAAUUUAAAUUUUUAAAAUACAAAUUCAAAUAUAAUAUUAAAUUUUUAUAUAUAUAUAUUAUAUAUAAUACAAAAUAAAUUCGGGUUCGGGUCGGAUUCGGGUAGGGUUCGGGUUUGGAUCGGGUACAAUCAAAAUUCAUAUCCGAAUCCAUAUCCGUCGGGUUUUUAUUUUUUAUAUCUAUAUCCAAAUCCAUAUUCUUAUCCAUCGAAUAUAUCCGUUUUAUUCGGGUUCGAGUUCGGAUAAAAUUUUGGGUAUCCAUACCCAUUGACAUCCCUAAUCCAAAGGCCAAA
rnacentral:lncRNA from 1 species